AUUGAACGCUGGCGGCAGGCCUAACACAUGCAAGUCGAACGAGUGGCGGACGGGUGAGUAAUGUCUGGGAAACUGCCUGAUGGAGGGGGAUAACUACUGGAAACGGUAGCUAAUACCGCAUACCAUCGGAUGUGCCCCGAUGGGAUGAGCUAGUAGGUGGGGUAAAGGCUCACCUAGGCGACGAGCCCUAGCUGGUCUGAGAGGAUGACCAGCAACACUGGAACGGAGACACGGUCCAGACUCCUACGGGAGUCAGGAGGGGGGAAUAUGGCACAAUGGGCGAAAGCCUGAUGCAGCCAUGCCUCGUGUAUGAAGAAGGCCUUCGGGUUGUAAAGUUCUUUCAUCGGGGAGGCGUUACCCGCAGAAGAAGCACCGGCUAACUACGUGCCAGCAGCCGCGGUAAUAC
rnacentral:rRNA from 1 species